AUUGAACGCUGGCGGCAGGCCUAACACAUGCAAGUCGAACGAGUGGCGGACGGGUGAGUAAUGUCUGGGAAACUGCCUGAUGGCGGGGGAUAACUACUGGAAACGGUAGCUAAUACCGCAUACCAUCGGAUGUGCCCAUAUGGGAUUAGCUAGUAGGGGGGGUAAAGGCUCACCUAGGCGACGAUCCCUAGCUGGUGUGAGAGGAUGACCAGCCACACGGGGACUGAGAAACGGGCCAGAAUCCUACGGGAGGCAGCAGUGGGGAAUAUUGGACAAUGGGCGAAAGCCUGAUGCAGCCAUGCCGCGUGUAUGAAGAAGGCCUUCGGGUUGUAAAGUACUUUCAGCAGGGAGGCGUUACCUGCAGAAGAAGCACCGGCUAACUCCGUGCCAGCAGCCGCGGUAAUUC
rnacentral:rRNA from 1 species